rnacentral:lncRNA from 1 species
AUGAGCAUUUUUUGUUACUGUGAGGGACACAUGGAUGCGUCGCCCUUUCUGGGGAAAGAGCUUGUUGUCCCAGCUGCUGCCCUUGGCCGCCCCCUUCAGGGAUUGCCUCUGCUGCAGGGAGCCACCUGGACAGGUUCAGCUCUGCCCAGCACAGCGCACGUCCAGGGGCUGGCCGAGGCAGGGACGAUGGCCCGGCCAUUUCCGCCCAAUGGGGGAGAGCUCUGGUGGGCCCUUGGGCUCUGGAGGUCCCCAGGGGUCGGCUGCAGUUGCACUCCUGCCUCUGCCCAGUCCUGCUUCCCGCUCUGGCCUUCCACAGCUGUUCUCCCAGGGCACUUCCUGCACGUGAAACCCCCUCUCACCCUCUUCCUCCCAGAGAACAUGUCCUGGGAGUGCCCUGGGAUGUUGUGCGUGCCCGUGACUGUUACUUUUCAUUUUUUUAUUUUUCAGAAGCUGUUUAUUUUCCAUCUCCCUGAUUUCCGUUUUCUGUUCAAGAGUCUGUGGAAGAGCAACUCAAGAGCAGUCAGUGGUUCUUCCUACCCAUUCAGCGGCCUGUGCAGUGGGAGCUGCGGCCCAGUCUUCGGUGGCAGGCUGAGGGCUCCAUCCUCAGUAGGAAAUGGCUGGACGGGCACAGAGGGGACCAGCAUGCCUUCAGACAGCGUGGGGCCUCGGGGGAUGGUGGUGUCCACAUAGCAGAGGAGAGUGUGUCACACAGAGCAGUGGCGGGCAGGUUAACACAAGAGGCCUCUGUGAGAGGCUGGCGGUCAGCCCUGGGGUCAGUUGCCACCAGAAGUCACGGCUCCUGGAAGGCCGCCUGGAUCUGGUUAGUGAAGGUUCCAGCAGAGAAGCAGCUGGCAGUGGGAGAGGCUCCAGCGGCAGCAGCAAACUUGAGCACAGCUCACCGAUGUGCUGUUCCAUUUGGAAGUCAAGGCGGCUGCCACCUGAGUGGGCUCCUCCUGUGCGGAAGGGGAGGACAUCCUCCUCCGCCGUUUGUGGGACACCCAGGGCUCUGGACACUGGCUGGGCUGUGCAAAUACCCACCUGGAUACUGUGA